UUUCUCAUGGACCCCCGAGUUGUGU
rnacentral:miRNA from 1 species